rnacentral:rRNA from 1 species
UGCCAGCAGCCGCGGUAACACGAGUGGUGCGAGCGUUAAUCGGAAUUACUGGGCGUAAAGCGCGCGUAGGCGGUUAUUUAAGUCGGAUGUGAAAGCCCCGGGCUCAACCUGGGAAUUGCAUUCGAUACUGGGUGACCUGAGUACGAGAGAGGGAGGUAGAAUUCCACGUGUAGCGGUGAAAUGCGUAGAUAUGUGGAGGAAUACCAGUGGCGAAGGCGGCCUCCUGGCUCGAUACUGACGCUGAGGUGCGAAAGCGUGGGGAGCAAACAGGAUUAGAUA